GACGAACGCUGGCGGCGUGCUUAACACAUGCAAGUCGAACGGAAAGGCCCUGCUUUUGUGGGGUGCUCGAGUGGCGAACGGGUGAGUAACACGUGAGUAACCUGCCCUUGACUUUGGGAUAACUUCAGGAAACUGGGGCUAAUACCGGAUAGGAGCUCCUGCUGCAUGGUGGGGGUUGGAAAGUUUCGGCGGUUGGGGAUGGACUCGCGGCUUAUCAGCUUGUUGGUGGGGUAGUGGCUUACCAAGGCUUUGACGGGUAGCCGGCCUGAGAGGGUGACCGGCCAAAUUGGGACUGAGAUACGGCCCAGAAUCCUACGGGAGGCAGCAGUGGGGAAUAUUGCACAAUGGGCGGAAGCCUGAUGCAGCAACGCCGCGUGCGGGAUGACGGCCUCCGGGUUGUAAACCGCUUUCGCCUGUGACGAAGCGUGAGUGACGGUAAUGGGUAAAGAAGCACCGGCUAACUACGUG
rnacentral:rRNA from 1 species